GAUGAAGAACGUAGCGAAAUGCGAUAAGUAAUGUGAAUUGCAGAAUUCCGUGAAUCAUCGAAUCUUUGAACGCACAUUGCGCCCCCUGGCAUUCCGGGGGGCAUGCCUGUCCGAGCGUCAUUUCUGCCCUCAAGCACGGCUUGUGUGUUGGGUGUGGUCCCCCCGGGGACCUGCCCGAAAGGCAGCGGCGACGUCCGUCUGGUCCUCGAGCGUAUGGGGCUCUGUCACUCGCUCGGGAAGGACCUGCGGGGGUUGGUCACCACUAUAUUUUACCACGGUUGACCUCGGAUCAGGUAGGAGUUACCCGCUGAACUUAAGCAUAUCAAAAGCGGAGGA
rnacentral:misc_RNA from 1 species